rnacentral:lncRNA from 1 species
UGUCAUGGGUUUUGAGGAACAGUUCUGCAGUUUCUGGGGAAGAGACCACUAUGGCUGGGACCUGCCCCAGAUUUAAGGACAUUAUGGGACCAUAUUUUGUGGCAAGGGAUUGAAGGGUUCGAUGUGGGAGUUUUCCUAACAUGUGAAGGUUUCCAAUAAUUGGCAAGGGUUUGGGACCUGGUGCAGUUUUCCAAUCAUGUUUCUUUUGGAACAAAAAAACAAUGAAUGAUAUUAAGAGAAGUGUUAUAGGGAUAGCUAGUGCUUGAAACAACAUUUCUAAAUUGUUUAUUUGCUUUGUGAGAAUUAAGAGGUGAGUUUAGGUUAUUUAUAGACCUUAAUAUAUAGUAUACUGUGUGUAUAUAGAUAUAUAGGUAGAUAUUGAUGGGAAAAACGCGCGCGAAAACAACACACAUAAUCACGAAAUCAACUGCAGAAAAAUAAACGACACAAGAUUUAACGUGGUUCGGUCGCCAACUGCAACCUACAUCCACCCGGACAACUAUUAGGUUUACAUUAUAUCCUGUUACACACCAAUUACAAGUACAAUAAUCUCUUUAAAUAGAGAUAAAUAGAGAUAAUAAAGGGACAUAACAAUUAAGCUCACUCACUAAACAUGUGUCUUGUCAGCCCAACCCAAUUGGUCCUGGCUUCGUACCCAACAGAUAUAUAUAUAUAUAUGGUGCUGGCUUCGUACAGAACAUAUAUAUAUAUAGACUUUCAAAUGUAUUAGAAUAUGUCUUGUGAUUUUGGAGGAUUUUAAUAAAUUAAAUAAUAAAAUUGAGUAAUCAAGAAAUAACUUGCUAUGAUUGUCAAGGCAAAAUCGUAAUAAUAUUAAUAAUGGCAGGUAUUUUAGAUUUUGUAGGAAGAUAUUUGUUUUUAUAUAAAUAAAGAGCAAUAAUAAAUAACUUUUUAUAUAUAAAAUGUUAUAGUUAAAGUUACAGAUAGAUUAAUUACUUUAAAAGCAUAAAUAUUAUUUUUAAUUUAUAAUGAAUAAUGUAAAUUAUGAUAUUAGAAUAUUUCCUCUUUUUACUCUGAUGUAACUAAAAAAUAUGGUAUCAGAAUAUUUUAACUAUAGAUAAUUCCAAACUUAUUAAAACUUACUUUGGAAUACAUAUAAGACAUGAUAAAUUUAAUGUUUCAAUAAAUUAAUAUAUGAACAGAUAAAAGGAAAGUAUCUUGAUAUGAUUGAAAGAAGAAAAUCAGUUUUUUAAAUGUAAAUAAAAUGUAUAUUUGAAAGAAAGACAAAAAAGAGAGUAUUGAGAAUAUUUAAAGAAAAGUUAAAAGAGGAAGAAUAUUUCUGAAUUAUAUAUUACAUAUUGUAAUUUAUAAUAGAAAUAAGUUAAAGAGAGCAUUUAAAAAUGUUUUGGUCGCAGUGCUUUUUCCCUUACACACUGUCAUGGUUGGUACCUCCUUGUUUGCUACCUCUUUUUUUGUCUUGUUAUUUAGACUGUUCAUUAUAUCUUAGUUUAAUUCUAAUUUUUAUUUUUAAAAAUUAAAUUUUUAUAUCAAAUCAUUUUUAAAAAUAUUUUUUAAUAUAUAUGAAUUUAUUCUAUUUUAGUCUUUAUUUAUUUAUGGUAAUUCAAUGAUAAACUCGACCAAAAUCAAUAAUAUAUAGACAUGGGGUAGAGUUUAUUCGUAUUGUGAUCUUCAAUAAAAUAAUAAGCCAAUAACGACGAAGACCUUGUCUUCUAGAUUAGAGGCACAUGGAUCUAUGCAGACAAUAUAUCUUUUAAUACAUGAUACGAAACUAUUUUAAUUUUAAAUAGUUUUUUAAUAUAUAUGACUUAAAAUCAAAGUCAGACGAUUUUUCUUUACUUAUGAUAUUAUAUUAUAAAAGAUGGAAAUGCGUGCCAAAACCUUUUUACAACUAAAAGAGUGCAUUAAUAUCAUACCUAAUAUUAUUUGAGUUUAACUAACCCAAGUACUUAGAUAACCAAAUAUAAAAGCAAAUUGGUAGCCUAAAAAAAAUAAUCAGAAAACAAAGUUUAUAGUGUUGACAAAUACUUUCAUAUUUCUAUUGAUGUAGUUUUUGUGUAUUUAAAAGACAAAAGUCUAAUAUCACUAUUACUAACAUUUUUUUUUUCAUUUUGAAAAGUAGAUGAUAACAAUUUGAUGGGAGUUGAGAAAGAAAAAAAAAAAGAGUUUUUCCUUAUGUAACAAAGGUUGUUUACCAUUGAUCAUCAAGAAAGAGUGUAAUGAGAAAAUAAAUUACAAAAAGACAGAUUAAGAAAAUAUGAUUAAAGAAAUUACUCAGAGUAAGUCUCUUAUGGAUUAAUCAAGAUAAAUGUUUAUCACUAUUAUAAUGUAUGUGAUAAUCAUAGACUCUAAGAUUCUUAUAAUAUACAUCAGAAUCUACAUGUAGUGUGGGAAUCAGGAUGUCCAAAUUUAUGAUUAUCCAUGGAUAAUGUUUUUUUACCAUAAUUUUUAAAAAAAAUAUGAAUUUGUGAAAAGAAGAAUUUUUUAUAAUUAAAUUACCAUAAAUUUUAUGGCACCUCAAGGAGCACGAGUGCACAAGUCUCAUUCUGUUAGUUGAAUGAUCAUGUGAAUCUGUGUGAGUAAUCAACUAAUUUCUUUGGUAAGAAUUGCAUUAGCUCUACACAUGUAUAGCCUCUCGGUCAUCUAAAAAUAUAAAACAAAUUUCAAUUCAAAGUGACCCUUUACAGGGCCUACAUUUCUGCAUAAACGUUUCUUUGGUAGGAAUUGCAUUGGUUUUACACAUGUAUCAGUCUUUCAACCCUCUAAAGAUAUAAGACAAAUUCCAAUUCAAAGUGGCCCUUUACAGUGCCUGCAUUUUUGCAGAAAGGACUCGAGGACUUUUCUACAUUUAUUUUGCAUUUUUUAAUGCUUUAAUUAAAUUGAAAUGCUAACACCCAAAUCUCACCUUGCAAUUUUGUGCUUUUACUCAUUCCAAGGAAAGAAGUCAAAUCCCGACCGAUCUGAUGUUGCUUUGAAUUUUGUGACCUCCUUCUUCAGUUGGAGCAUCUUAUUGCUUUUGAAUUCCAAUUAAGGAAUGACAAAUUUCAUUUUUGUGGGGAGUCUAGACAUUUCCAAAUGGUUUGCCCCAAAUGUAAAGUUUGAUUCAAAAAUAAAGGUGAGCAUAAUGUUUAUGUAUAUUUUGAAUCAAAGUUAACUAAAGUUUGCUAUAAUAUUUGGUGGAUUGAUUAUGGAUAUGUAUAGCUCAUCUUUCUAAUAUGAUGCAUGAAUUACUUUGAAUCCGAACCAUAAACCCAAAUGAGAAGUUUGUCUUCAUGGGAAAUAGAGUGAAAGUUCUAGUUGAAGCUAUCAGGACUUAUCGUUUAAUCCUUAACAUUGUAUUUUAUAUAGAUUUGUUUUAUACUUUUUAUGUACCUAGCAUUUCUUGGAACUUAGUUUCUUUGUCUAAAAUUGAUGUUGUUGGAUACUCUUAUAGGUUUGGGAAGGGUUGUUUAAGUUUGUAUAAGUGUACUUGUAUGAUAGGAUCUAGUACACUUUAUGAUGAUUUAUAUGUUAAAACUCUUAUGACCUCACGUCAUAAUGUUAUCACUAAAAGUAGUUUAGUGAAAUGAAUGUUCUGCUUAAUUGUGGCAUAAGUGUUUGAAAUAUAUUUCCAAAGAAAUUAUGCAAAGAUUAGUAAAGAAUGAAAUCAUUUUGAAUUUGGAUUUUACUUAUUUGAAUAUUGGUGUAGAUUGUACUAAAGGAAAACCAACAAAACACACAAAGAAAGUUGCCACAUGAAGCAUUCAACUUCUUGAAAUUCUUUUAAUAAAGAAAUGUAUUUUAUCACCUUUAAUAAUAAUUUUUCACGAUAUGGGUAUGUCUAUUUACUACAUGAGAAAUUUCAAGCAUUCCAUGCCUUAGAAAUUUAUAUAAAUAAACUAGGAAGACAUUUAGACAGAGAGGUGAAAAUUGUGAGAUUAGAUAGAGAGGGUCAAUAUUGUGGAUGAUGAAAGUUGGACCCUAUGUGAUCGGCCAUAAAAUACUUUGAUCUAUUUUCAAAAUUGUCAUCGAGCUUUUUUAAUGUUAUGGUUAGGGAGGUCAAACGUAAGUGACAUUUUCUCCACUAGUGUAGGUUUCUUAACCCAUUUCUCACCAGGAACAGUAAAAUGUGUUAUUCAGCUAAAUAUAUCAAUCAUGUGUGAUUGGAAUGAUUACUUAUUUUUCUAUUAUAAAAAAUGAGUUUCAUUUUGACGAGCAUAAUAUUUAUUCCUUUUAUAAUGAUUAUAUGAAUGUUCAAAGUUACACAAGAGCUUUUAAAUUUAUUGAUUUUGACUAUUAUAUUAAACGAGAGAAUAUUUUUAAUUUUUUAUAUAGUUUUGCUCUUUCUUUUUUUCUCUCUCUAUUUGAGUGCAAACAGAAUUAGUGCAUGAAUGAAAUCAAGAGAGUUGAACGUGAGAAUCUUAAACUGAAAAUAGUAUUUAUUAAUAAAUUAUCAAUCAAACUAGUUAUUAUUUUAAUAAUCAUUCAUUGGUGAUGGUAUAAGACAAAAGUUGAAUAAAAGACAAUCAUGUGUGCUCCUUAUUCAUCCAACAUAAAAUGUAAUGACAAUGAUGCAAAAUAUUGUACCACAAUUGUAAAAACAAAGAAUCUCUCACUUGUCACGGGUUAUGACACAAACAAAAAUAGUUAUACUUAAACCAUUGAAUUAAUAAAAAUACUUGAUCACUUAUUCAAAUUAUUUGAUACAUGAUUAAAUGUGUAAUAUGUCUCAAACUAGAAUUGAAAUCAACCACAAACAUAUCUAGAUUGACCUUGCUUUGUAUUAUUAUCCUCUCUCUUAACCUAACUACCUAGUCGAUAAACUGGUCUAGUUAACAAAUUAUUCUUUCUGGGUAUGCUGAGUCCAAAUAUCUCUUGCAUGUCUAACUCAUCACAAGACAUGCCCAAUGGAAGCAUCCAAUCAAAACAAUGCACCAAUUGUGCCAAAACAAGACUAACCGUUGUUAAACCCAAAUGAAUCCCGGGGCACCCUCUUCGACUCGACCCAAAUGGUAAAAUUCGAAAGUCCUUUCCACGAAUGUCUACAUUGUUAUUCUCAAACCUUGUAGGAUCGAAAAUCUCGGCAUUGUCCCAAACAUUAGGAUCUCGCCCUAUAGCCCAUGCAUUUACUAUAAUCCUUGAUUUUUUCUUUAUAAAAUAACCAUCAAUGAUAACAUCUUCUUUGCACUCACGAGGUACUACCAAAGGUACAACCGGGUGCAACCUUAGUGUUUCCUUCACCACCAUAUUCAAAAAAGAUAACUUGUCUAAGUCACUUUCCUCCCCGUAUUUGUUCAUUCCAACCACAUGUUUUAGCUCGUGUUGAAGUCUCUUCAUCACACUUGGGUGCCUCAAGAGUUCUGACAUGGCCCAUUCUAAUGUUGUGGAAGAUGUUUCUAAUGCUCCACCGAUCAUGUCUAAUAUGAUAGCUUUGAUGUUUGUCCUAUCAAUAACGUUUUGGUUGUUGUGAACAUCAUUUGGUUGGUGCAUGAGUGAGAGCAAAACCUCCACAAAGUCCAUGUUGCCUUUUUUUAUCUUUGUCAUUUGAAUUACUCUCUUUGUCUUGGAUUAUUUGCUCAAAGCCUUUGUCAAGUGACUUGCUUGCUUUCUUUAAUCUUGUUGUUAUUCCCUAAGCAAUAGUUGCAUGAAUAAAUACCAAAAAAGUAACAAAACAUAAUUAUACAUAUUCUUUCAUAUAGACAUAGAUAUGCCAACAAACAUUUCAAUUUAUUUAUCUAUGGAGUUACAUGUAAAACCCUAAAUUUCAUUCCAUGAUAAAAAUAUGUGAAAAGUUAGAUAAACACUAAUUUUAGUAAAUUUAUCCUUAUACAAAUCUUUGCUGGUCCAACUGCAUUAAUUGGCAUCAAAAUUUCUGAAACCAAACAAUAAUUUGAAUAUUAGUUAAAGAGAGAAAAAAAAAUUGGGGUUAGAUUUUGAGUUGGCUCGGGUCAGGUCAAGCUAAGUCGGCCCAAACCAAGGUCCACCCGAAUCAACCCAAGUCUAGAUCGAGUCAAAUCAGUCCAGUCGAGGUCGAGCAAAGAUGACACGAGACUAAGUCCAGCCAAAAUGAUCAGAGCUCUAGUUGGGUUGAGUCGACUUGGGCCUGGAUAGAACUCAAGUUGAGCUAAGUCGACUCGAGUCCAGAUCCACACAAGUUGAUUCAAGCCCAUGUCAAGCCGAGUAGAACAAGGCCCAUGUCGAACCAAGUCAACCCGGGCCCAUGUCGAGCUGAGUUGACCAGGACCACGUCGAGCCGAGUCGAACCGAGCCCAUGUUGACUCGAGUCGACCUGGGCCUAUGUUGAACCGAGUGUGCCUAAUCCCAUGUCGAGUCAGUUCGGGUCCAUAUCAAGUCGAGUCAGCCCCGACCCAUGUCGAGUAGAGUCGACCCGAGCCCGUGUCGAGCUGAGUCAACUCGGGUUCAUGUCGAGCCGAGUUAACCUGAACCCAUGUUGAGCCGAGUCGAUCCGAUCUCAUUUCGAGUCGAUUCGAUCCUGACUCUUUUCGAGCCGAGUCGAUUCGAGCCCAUGUUGAGUCAAGCCGAGUCGAUCCGAGGACAGUGAAUUUUGUGUUGCUUCCAGACCUAUUUUCGCUAAAGUAAAACAAGUUGAAAUGAACAUUUUUCUCAACUGUACCCAUAAAGAUUAAUGACUAAAUCAUAGAGAAAAACAAAGAAUAAGAGAUCUUUAGGGUAAAAAUGAACUUACUCUGUUUGAAAAAUAGGAUAAAAAUGUAUCCUAACUCCUCAGCAUGGCGUGAUCAAAUUUUAGAAUAAAUAAGGUACGAGAGAAAAAUUAAAAGAGAAAAAAGAAAAGAGAGAGAAACCAUACAUUUUUUUUCCAUGUGUUUACAUCAUAUAAUUCCUUAUUACAUAUAUUAAAAACAAUUACACUAAAUUAUUAUUUUAUUUUAAUCACGUAUAUUACACGUUAAUACACUUUUUCAUAUACAUUUAUAUAGAAAAUAUAAUAAUUCCAAUAUCAUAUAAAAUCUAUCCUUAGGACACAUCCCAGCCAUUAUGGUUUCCAUCAAGUUAAGACCCUUAACAUUGUCUUUUGCCAGACCCAAAAUUCAAAAAUCAGAAUAUGCAUAUCGUGUUUCCUGAGUAUGUACCCUAUACUAUUUUAUAUGUAAUCUUUUUGUUCUUGUGUGGAUUGGAAAUGCCCUCUCUCAUGCUCUAGUAGGCCUUGGACUCAUAAAAUUAAAGAAAUUUUAAUUUUUGGAUUUUUAUAAAAAUAUAAAAAUAUAUAUAUAAAAGAUUAUUUUCAAAUUAGUAUUUUAAUAUUUGAUACUUAAAAUUAUUAAAUGUCAAUUUAGUUAUUUCAUUCCACCUGUUUAUAGAAUCAUAUAGGUCUUUGAAAUGAAGACUUAGAUUAAUACAUAUAAAUUGAGUUAAUCUCGUAUUAGUUAAACCUUUCAUACCUUCAUUAUUAGUUAAUUAUUAGUUAAACCUUUCGUACCUUAAUUAUUAGUUAAUUAUUAGUUAAACCUUCCGUACCUGAUUAUAUUAAUUUAACUUUUUUAGGAGUAUGUUGAGGCAGGUUCCCAUGAUAUGCUCGACUAUAAUUACUGAAUAAUUCUCAAUCGUUGGUUCCAUGGACGUGUUGAUAAUGGAUAAUUUAUGAUGCCUGCACACUACUCUAAAAUGGUGUGUCGGUGUCCGAUACUCGUAUGAUACCGGUAGGAUAUGUAUUUGUGAAGUGUCCAAUUCAAAAAGUAUUUGUUAGAUUUCUAAUAAUUCUAGUACGGUUCUAACACAAUUCUAAAAAGAAAAAUACAUUAAUUUUUUAAAAAAUCAAAUUUUAUUGUAUAAAUUAUUAUUAUGAUUAUAAAAAUAAAAAUAAAAAUCCUUGUAAAUCAAUCAUAAAAAACAUCUUUCUGCUCCAAAAAAUAAUUUGGAACAUACUUGUGCACAUAAAUCUUUAUUGUCAAUUUAUAUAAUUCAUAAUUAUAUAAUAUAUAAAUUCGUGUCCCCGUGUCCUACAUUUUAGAGAUUUUACGUAUCUCCGUGUUUGUGUCCGUAUCGUAUCAGUGUUCGUGUCAAUAUCAGUGCUACAUAGUGUACAACACACUUUUUAAUACUUACAAUUUUAUAAAUAAUGAUAAUUAACAAUGACAAAAUAUAUUACUGAACUAGAUACACUUGAGAUUAUAUAUAAUAUUUUAAUAAUUUGUUUACUUAUCAAAUGUGAUAAAUGUUAGAAAAGAUGGUUUUAAACUAGAGGGGGGUGAAUUGUUUAAAGGGGUUUUCGCAAACUUUUCAAAGCUAGAAUGAACUUAUUUCAGAAACCAAUUGAUUCAGCAAUUCAGUUAGCCAAAACAGCAAGCAAAACUGUAAUACCAGAAAAAACAAUCGGUUGUUUCUUCGAAACAAUCGGUUGUUUAUACCAGCAAACAACAAACAAACUGAAAUUAAAGAGUUAGGGAUAGAAAGAUUGUACACAGUUGUUUAUACCGGUUCACUCCAAACUAGAGCUACAUCCAGUCUUCUCAGAAACCCUGAGGAUAUCCACUAAGCAACCACACCUUGAUCACUUACACCACAACCAAGAGAAUGACCUUGAACACCUCAAGAAACACACUCUCCUUGGCCAACACUAAGAUUGCUGAUCUUGAACACCUCAAGAACACACAGCCAAUCUCAGCACAACACACACACGAAUUGUUCAGCAGAUUACAAAGAUUACACUUGUUACAUAUGGAAAUCUGAAAUCAAUACAAGUAGAAUCCUAUUCAACACCUUGAUCAAUCUCUCAACUCUUUAGCAAUCUCAGAACUCUUUUGAAAAACUCUUAGAUGAAAAACUUUGUUUCAAGAUUCUUAAUACAUCAAAACAGUUUUUCAGAAUAUAUCUAAGAAUAUAGUUUGUUAUCAAAUCUUAACAAACUCUUAAUUGCAUUUAAAAUAGAUUGGUCAAAGCAUUUAAUGACUGGAGCGUAUUCAGUUAAAGCAUUUAAAGCUCAGUCAAAGAAAACAGUUUUUCUAUUAUGGUUUUAAAACAAACAAUCGAUUGUUUCCUCGAAUCAAUCGGUUGUUUUGUUACUUAACAAAAUACAUCAUUCAAAAACAGUUUUCAAACUUUCUCAAAACACCUAAGUGUAAACAAUCGAUUGUUUCGACACAACAAUCGGUUGUUUCAACUUAGUUUUUAAAACAUUUUGCUUUGUUAAAAUUGAGAUGCUAAUUGCUUUGAGAUUUAAUCUAAGGAUUGAUUACAACAUUAAACUACCCCAGAACAAGGCUUAAACCAGCACAGCAGCAUCAAGCAAAGCAGAGGCUUCAUCAUCCUUCAAAGGAUUUGGAUUCUUCAAAACAUUGAACACCACUUGGUUCAACAAUAAAUAUAUUAUAAAAGAUGAAAAGGUGUAAACAACUAAAAAUUGCAUAAAUGUCAUACCUAAUAUUAUUUUUGAGUUUAACUAACCCAAAAAAGUCAGAAAACAAAGUUUACAGUGUAGACAAAUACUUUCAUAUUUUUAUUGAUGUAGUUUUCGUGUAUUAAAAAACAAAAGUCUCCCACUUCAAAGAAUUUAUAUAUUACCAACAUUUUUUUCCAUUAUUAGAUCUUAACUUUAGUUUGUGAUACUAAAAUAUUUGCUACUCUUUUCUAUUGCGAGAGGUCAUUUGUAGUUAGUGGCUUGUAAGAACAUCUAUCAGUUUUAUUAAUAUUAUCACAGAAAAUUCCUUAUUUUUUUUCAUGAGAGAAAAUUUUCUAUUCAAUCUUUGUUAGAAGAUAAAUUAAAAUUUUCUCUACUAUUUUGAUAUUCAAGUCUUACAUGGUGAAUGAACUCUUUCAUAUAUUCAUUGUCCUUCAUUCUAACAAUUUCAAAUUCUCUUAUCAAAUUUUGAACAUACAUCUUCUUGGAUGUAUCACUUUUUUGAAACUCCUCCUGCAACUGAACCCAAGUUUCCUAGACGAUUUAUAGAGUAACGAUUUUAAUAAAAACAUUACCCUACUAAAUUGUUUAUUUUAUGAGAAGUGUAUUUUUUUUCCUUUCUCAUUUCAUCAUUAUGAUUUUAAAUCUGAGUAAAGUCAUUUCUAAAUGAACUAUAAUACCAUGAAAGAGAAAUAGAAUAUGCUUGAAUUGCACAAGUUCAUGAGGAAACCAAACUUAAGAAUCAAGGUACCAUUUUAUUCAUUAUGUGAAUAGUUAAGAGCUGGAUAUAAAGUUGAUAAACAACAUGAAAAUGGCAAAUAACCAUUAAAGAUUAGUGUGUUCUCUGCUAUGUGGGAAGUUUGGACAUUUGCAAAAGAAUUGCCCCAAACGUAAAGCUUGGUUUAAAAUAAAGGUGAGCAUAAUGCUUAUGUAUGUUUUGAAUCAAACUUAACUGAAGUUCGCUAUAAAAUUUGGUGGAUUUAUUAUGGAUGUACAACUGAUGUUUCUAAUAUGAUGUAUGAAUUCCUUUUAAUCCAAACCAUAAACACAAAUGAGAAAUUUGUCUUCAUGGAAAUAGAGUGAAGGUUGCAUGUAAAGCUAUAGGACUUAUCGUUUAAUCAUUAACACUGGAUUUUAUUUAUAUUUGUUUGAUAUUUUUUAUGUACCUAACAUUUCUAGGAAUUUAGUUCUUUGUCUAAACUUGAUGUUGUUGGAUACUCUUAUAGGUUUCAUGUUAUGGAUAUGUCUAUUUACUACAUGAGAAAUCUCAAGCAGUGAAUGUCCUAGAAAUUUAUAUAAAUGAAGUGGAAAGACAAUUAGGCAGAAAUGUGAAAAUUGUCAGGUUGGAUACAGAUGGUGAAUAUUGUGGAAAAUAUGAUGAAAGUCAGACCCUAUAUGAUCCGAUGUAAAACACUUCAAAAAAUUUACCUGGCUUUUUUAAUGUCGUGGUUAGGGAGGUCAUACAUAAAUGGUCGAGGUCACUAGGAAUAAUAAAAUGUGUUACUCAAUUAAAUAAAUAAAUAAUGUAUUAUUGGAAUAAUUACUUAUUUUUCUAUGUUUUAAAAAAAUAAAUUUCAUUUUGACAAGCAUGAUAUUUAUUCUUUUAUAAUGAUUAUAUGAAUUUUUCGAGUUACACGAGAUAUUCUAAAUCUAUUUAUUUUGACUAUUCUACUAAAUGAGAUAAUUUUUUCAUUUUUCUUAUAGUUUUUUCUUUUUUUUUUUCCUCCAUUUGUGUGAAAAAAAAAUAGUAUGCGAAUGGAAUCAAGAUAUUUCAACGUCAGAAUCUUAAACUGAAAAUAGUCUUUAUUAUUAAAUUAUAGAAUUAGUUCUCAUUUUAACAACCAUUCAUUGGUGGUGGUAUAAGAAAAAAGCUUAAUAAAAGACAAUCAUGUGUACUCCUCAGUCACUCAAAAUAAAAUGCAAUGAUAACAAUGCAAAAUAUGGGUACCACAAUUGCAAAAUCAAAGAAUCUCCCACUUGUCAUAGUUUAUGACACACACAAAAAUAGUUAUACUCAAACCAUUAAAUUGAUAAAAACACUUGAUCGCUUAUUCAAAUUAUUUGAACACAUGAUUAAAUGUGUCACAUGUCUCAAACUAGAAUUAAAAUCAACCACAAACUUUGCAUUAUUAUCCUCUCUUUUAACCUAACUAGCUAGUCGGUAAACUGGUCUAGUUAACAAAUGAUUCUUUCUUGGUAUGCUAAGUCCAAAUAUCUCUUGCAUGUCUAAUUCAUGAGAAGACAUGCCUAAUGGAAGCACCCAAUCAAAACAAUGCACCAAUUGAGCCAAAACAAGGCUAAGCGUGGUUAAACCCAAAUGAAUCCCGGGACACCCUCUUCGACCAGACCCAAAUGGUAAAAUGCGAAAGUCCUUUCCACGAAUAUCUAUGUUGUCAUUCUCAAACCUUGUAGGAUCGAAAAUCGCAGCAUUGUUCCAAACUUUAGGAUCCCGUCCUAUAGCCCAUGCAUUUACUAUAAUCCUUGAUUUUUUCUUUAUGAAAUAACCAUCAAUGAUAACAUCUUCUCUACACUCACGAGGUACUAACAAAGGUGCAACCGGGUGCAACCUUAGUGUUUCCUUUACCACCAUGUUCAAAUAAGACAAAUUUUCUAAGUCAUUUUCCUCCACGUGUCUAUUCAUUCCAACCACAUGUUCUAGCUCGUGUUGAAGUCUCUUCAUCACACUUGGGUGCCUCAAGAGUUCUGACAUGGCCCAUUCUAACAUUGUGGAAGACGUUUCUAAUGCUCCAGCAAUUAUGUCUAAUAUGAUAGCUUUGAUGUUUGUCCUAUCAAUGACGUUUUGGUUGUUGUGAACUUCAUUUGGUUGGUGGAUGAGUGAGAGCAAAACCUCCACAAAGUCCAUGUUGCAUUUUUUAUCUUUGUCAUAUGGAUUACUCUUUUUGUCUUGGAUUAUUUGCUCAAAGCCUUUAUCAAGUGACUUGCUUGCUUUCUUUAAUCUUUUUGUUAGUCCCUGAACAACGUUUUCAUGGAUAAAUAUGAAAAAAAUAAUAUAAUUAUAACAUAUUCUUUGGUACAGAUAUGACAACAAACAUUUGGAUUUAUUUAUUUAUGGAGUCACAAGUAAUUUUUAUUCAAUAAUAAUAAAUAUGUCAAAAGUUAGAUAAACACUAGUAUGAAUAAAGACGAAUUUAGUUUCAAUUUACACCAAUUUAUUUCUCGAGUUAAUUGAAUUUAUUUUAUUCCAAAUUGCAUUUCAUUAAUUAAUUAAAUUAUGUGAAAUUAAAAAGUUAUAUUUAUUUUUUUUAAUUGCAAUAAUUAAAAUUGAAAAAAUCACAUGCAACCAAAGUAAAAAAAAAAAUCAGAAAUAAACAUAAAAAAUAUUAUUAAAAUAUUAAAAUUAAAUAAAAUUAUUGCAAAAAACCCUAAAUAAUUCUAACCCAUUUAAAAUAAAUACAAAUCACAUUAAAAAUAAAAUAAAACACAAAAACUAGCCAAGAGGCAUGAUUUAAAAAACCAAAAUAAAUAGUAAAAAUGUGUCUAGUGUCAUAACUUCACAUUAAAAAAAAGGAAAACUAAAACUUUAUAACAUACCACUUAAUACAUCUUUAAUAAAAUAAUAUUUAAAAAAAUAAUCUAGAAAACGUGUUUCCAAAUAUUAUUUUAUUAAAAAAAAACUUAAAAUUCGUAUUAUGAGAUAUAACUUGAGCAAGUGCCGGAACCCUCAGCACAGCCAAGAUGUAAUGGUUGUUCAAUAAGCAGUUAAUAAGAACCUCAAUUACUAUCAUUUUAGUAUUAAUAUAAAAGAAGAAUUAAAUAUAUUUUCAUAUAAACAAAAUUAGUUUUCAUAAUUUAUCCAAAUUUUAGACUUUUUAAAUAUUUAUAAAAGAAAUAUUAAAUUUGUCAUUUUAUAAAUUUUUAUAUAUAUUAUAUAUUAUAAUGCAUGCAUAUAUACUAUAACAAGUUUUAGUUGCAACAUAUAUAUAAUUAAAUUGAUACCUGAAGAUCAAACACUCUUAGCCAGGGAAUGUAAUCUGCAAGAUUAAAAGCUCCAAUCAAGUUGAGAGCCUCUUGAAUAAGGUUUUUCAGGUCCAAUCUAUCAUCUUUUGCACACCCCAACACCAUUUUAAACACCAUCUUCUCCAUCAGCUCCCCCAGCAACUCACUCAGAUCAACAACCUCACCAGAUGCUGCAGAAUGUUUCAGAGACUUCACCAACACUCCCAACUCCUCUCUCCUCAUAGGAGCAAACAUCUCAACCCUUGAGGCACUCAGAAGCUGCACAGUGCACACUUUUCUCAUGUUGCGCCAGUAUGCACUGUACUCAGAAAAAGCCAAACCCUUGCUGCCAUGUGAAAGGAAUUCAGAGGCUUGGAUUUUGGGUCUGCUGGCAAAAACAGUGUCAUGGGUUUUGAGGAACAGUUCUGCAGUUUCUGGGGAAGAAACCACUAUGGCUGGGAUCUGCCCUAGCUUUAAGGACAUUAUGGGACCAUAUUUUGUGGCAAGGGAUUGAAGGGUUCGAUGUGGGAGUUUUCCUAGCAUGUGAAGGUUACCAAUUAUUGGCAAGGGUUUGGGACCUGGUGCAGUUUUUCCAUCAUGUUUCUUUUGGAACAGAAAAACAAUGAAUGAGAUUAAGAGAAGUAUUAUAGGGAUAGCUAGUGCUUGAAACAACAUUUCUAAAUUGUUUAUUUGCUUGAUGAGAAUUAAGAGAUGAGUUUAGGGUAUUUAUAGACCUUAAUAUAUAACAUACUGUACAUAGAGAGAGACUUUCAAAUGUAUUAGAAUAAGUGAUUUUGUAAGAAUUUUAGAACAAACAUUUUGUUAGAAAUUUUAGAAUAAACAUUUGAAAUUUUAGAAAAAAACUUCUUUAUUUUAUUCAGAUUUUAAAAUAAACUUUUAAAAUUUAACUAAAGUUAAAAAAUCUUCUUUAUUUUAUUUAAUUUUUAUAAAAAAAUUUAAAAAAUCGUUAUAAAAUUUUAAAAUAAAUCUCUAAAAUUUAACGUUGGAAAUCUGUUAUAAAAAAUAAUAAUAAUAGAAGAUAUUUUAGAUUGCGCAGGAAAACAAUUUGUAUUUUAUAUAAAUCUUUUUGUGACCAAAAAUUGAUCAGGAGAAAUUUUAAAAAAUGUCGUUUUCAAAUGGUAGCUGCAAAUUUCUUAAUUCAGUACUCCUUUCCAUAAGUCCUUGAAUUGUAUAUAGUAAUUUAAUAAAAAUUAGGUUAAUAUAAUUAGAAAUUGUAUAUUUAUUUAUUUAUUAAGUAACAUAGACCAAUUGUUUUCCUUCUGUCUUUGGUGGUCCUGAACCCUAAGAUAGUUGCCAUUAUGAUUGGUCAGCAAGGAAUGGGAAACUACAUCUCAGCUGGGUCCAAGUGCUUUGCCUUAAUUGGCAUCAAAUUUAUGUGAAACCUAACAAUAAUUUGAUUAUUCUUAAUUGUUAUUACGAAAUUCAAACUCAACUAAACUUCACCUUUUAUUAUGUGUUGGAAUAAUUUUGUGAGUUUUGCUUUUUUAAGUCUUGUGAUGGAAAGUGUAUGAAUUUAUUCUAAUUAUAUUAUGAUUUAUUUGAAAUGUAAGAUUUGGGAUUAUUGGGUGUUUGAAUAUGAAUAUAUAGAUAUAUAGUUUAGUAUAUAAGCUCAUUGAGAGAGUAUUUGUCUAAUCAUAAGCAAGGUGGUAUCUAUUUUGGCUGUUAGAUUUUGUAAAAAUAUAGAUUCGGAAUUGAAUUCUCGAAAGAAGGCUUCAAAAAAUAUAAGUUUUUAUGAAAGUUAAAUCAGUAAUUUUUUUUGAUUAAGUGAGAUAAUUUUUCUUAAGUGAAAUAUCCUCACUCAAGCUAAAAGUAGACAGUGAAUUUUGGGUUGUUCCUAAACUUAUUUUCACUAAAGUGAAGUUUUUUAACUCAAGUUAAAAAAUAGAGUCUCUCGUAUUCAUUUUCGCUCAAGCGAGAGCAAAUCUUGCUCAAGAAAAAAUGGGGCUAAAGUUUGGGGUGCUCUUGGAUUUAUUUUCACUCAAACGACGAGAUUUUUACUAAGGUGAGACUCAUUUAUGCUCAAGCUAAAAAAAACUUCAAUUUUGAAAAAUUGCUUCUAAAACACUGUUUUAUUAUUGUCUAUUACUUUAUUAAAUUUAUUUGAAAUUUUAGUCAUAUAUGUAAUUGAAAAAGCAUUUGAUUAUAUGUUUAUGUAAUUUCUUGAAUAUUUUUGGAUUUUUAAAAUUCUAAACUUUGUAUGUUUUAAUGGUGUAUUGAUGUAUGGUAUGGAAUAUGAUUUAUGUGAAAAUGUAACCAAGACAUAGUAUUUUUAGGAAAGCAAACACCGUGUUGAUAUUGUUAGGAGAGUGUAUUUAUUUGUGAGUACUAUGUGAAAGGGACGAUCCUGACUCUAGUGAUAUUUUGGAAUCAUGUAGAUGACAGGUAUCAGGUGGCGAGUAUCGAGAGAGGUUCAUAUGACUGAGUAUGCAGUUUGAAAGAACUUAUCAAAGCAAAUUAUAUGGAAUUACCCGUAUCAUAUGUGAUGGAUUUCCUGAAGGGAAGACUAUAUGUUGUGAUGAGAACAUGAUAACAUGACAAGUGCAAGUCUCUAAGUGCUAUAAUUUCAAUAAAUGGUUCUUCCAAAAGUAGAGUCAAAUGUCUAUGUGUGGAUGUCAGUAGAUUUCUAGCAUGAGUUAUGUCGAACAUGUGAAAAAAUGUAGACACUUGAUUGUGUAGUACAUAAAAAAUUGUGAUUGCAUUCAUUGGAUUAAAUGAAGUGUGAUGUUUCAGAUGUUAUAAUGAAAUACUAGUUUACCCAUUUUCUUUUGUCUAUGGUUAUUAUUAUUUUUUAAAACCGAAGAUGAUCGUGCUUUACAAAAAGAGUAGAGAUUAUAAGUAAUGGAUCUUAUUAUUGAGGAGCCGGAGAGUUAAUAGAGAUUUUUUUAAAAAUUUGAAUCUUUUGAUGUAUAUACAUUUUUAAAUCUCUAUAAAAAGGGAAAAUAAUUUUUAAUGUAAUAUUGUGAGUAGUUAGAGUAGCGAAAAUGGAUGUUACAAUAUUUCCUCUUUUUACUAUAAUGUAACCAAAAAAUGAUAUCAAAAUAUUUUAACUAUAUAUGGUAAAAUUAAUAAAUUAGCUAUCAUUUUUAUAUUUUAAAUAUAUAUUACUAUCUUUUAUAUUUUAAUAUAUGUGGUUAGUAUCUUUAAAAAAAAUUAUCUUUUACCCAUUACUUUAAUUUUAUAAGAACAAUUAAUUAUUGUAUUAUUAUUAAUAUAUGUACUCUCUAGUUUCUUUAUCACUUUAAAUUAAAAAUAAUAAUAUUAUAAAAGAAAUAACUAAUGUUUCACUACUUAAACUUAUAUAAAAUUACAUAUAAUAAGAAUUACAAAAAUAAAUACUUAGUUAAUGUUCUCGUCGGUUGACUCGCUUGUCGGUUGACUCGAACGGCAGUCUAUGCCCCGUCUGUCUCCGCCUGUGAAUCAUGCUUCCUAGGGUUGAAGAACAUUUUACCUGCAAAGACAAAGGGCGUCUUGGCGGCCGUUUGCACUCUCACACUCAAGUCAGUACUGGAGCAAAAAACAAUAAGUGUAUAAAGUAUUUUCAGUCUUAGAAACUGUGUACAUUGCUAGGGUUCUUACCACCCUUUAUAUAGGUUGUAACUAGGGUUUACUUCUGUUCUGUUACCCACAUCUAGGGUUCCUUGGAGAAUGUUCAUGCGCCGCUAUUACACAAUCUUAGCAUAAUCUGGCACAUAGGACUUCCCUUUACUGGAGUGCAACGACUAACAGAAUGGUCGCCAAGGUACCAACUCAUGCACCAAUGCGGCGGGGUCAUCUGUUCUAUGGGUGCCCCAAGUAUUCGUGUGCCAUGCAUGCAGCCUACCCUUGGAAACCCUAACUCUAAUGGGCCUUAGCGCCUCUAAGAGUUAUUUACUUGUGUUGUGCACAAAUGUGUCAUACACCCCACAUGCAUGGAUCCCUUGUGACUUAGGCUUUCUGAUAUCUGAGUGUUUUAUCUAAUAACUAAUAUGAUUUCUAGGGCCCACCUUACGUGGUCCAUCUUUACUAUUUGACACCGAUGUCUGAUGUCUGAGGUCCUCUCUGGAGUCGAUGACCGAGGACUAGUCGAUACAGUUAAAUUUUAAGUCAUUUAUAAGUAUGAAUAUUUUCAAUUGAGUCAAAUAGUCUCACAUUAUCUAGGAGAUGAGAUCAAGUAUAAUUUUAAUACAUAUUUCUUUCUUAGUACUUUAAAACAUUUUGUAAGGAUAAAAUCGUAACAAAACUUUUUGACGUGAUUGACUGAUGUUAUCUCAAAAUAUUUGAGGUUGAAAUAUGGGUGUAAUCUAUGACAAUUGAAAAAUGAUUUCAAAUAUAUUAAAUGAUAUGGAUACAAGAUUUCUAUAAAAAAAUCAAUAUCAAUUGUGUUUUUUCUAAUUCUUAUUUGUUUGUCUAUGUAAAGGUGUAUAACCUUUAUUUUGUCUUUUCAGAUUUUAGUCUUUAUUGAUUGACUUUUUAUUUUCCAUUUUCUCUCCUUAGCUAGACCUAGAUGAGUAUAAUAAUUGUAUAUAUUCAGACUAUUUGUUUUGAUUUCAAUAGAAAAAUAGAAGAAUUAUUCCUUCUCACAUCUCUUUUUUUUAUCAACAACAACAACUAAAUAAAAGUGAACCACUUCAGGGGUGGAUCAACCCUUAUACAAGAAAUACAUAAUCCAACGUCUAACACGACCCUCCAAACCAAACAGGCAAGUCCACACUAAGAACCUAAAAACCUAAAAAACAUCAAAUAACCAAACGCAUAUAUUCCAAAGGUUUCAAACACCAACUGGAAAAGGAAACCAAAGCAGUGCGCGUCUCUUGCCUUCAUUUUUCUCUUUUGUUCAUCUUUGUUCUAUUUUAUAUUAAAAGACAACUCUCAUUAUCUUUAGUCCUUGACUAUGGGCUUGUUCAGUAACAUCCAGCCGUCUCACAUUGCUUAUGAGUCGAGAUCAUGGAUAAUUUAAUUACACAUUACUCUUAUAAUCCUUCAAAACGUAAUGAAACUUUGAGCUCCAAAGUGGACAAUAUUUUGGAUGCAGUAAUUGAUAAGUUAGCUAAUUUAUGAUUUAUUCAUAGAAAAUCUUUUCAUUGGUAUAAUAGGUUUCCAUCUAGUCUGUUCUUGGAAUUCUUUAUGAAUAUGUAUAGUCUACAUAUGUAUCUUUUUUGUUAACAUGUGAGUUUUUGUCUAGUCUCCUUAAUAAAAUAUUUUUUUAUGUGAUGACAAAUGAUUGUUGUUACUUGAAGUAUCAACAUCUGAUAUUUUAAGUUAUAUAAUGAUGUCUAAUAUGAAAAUUUUUAUUUAAUAAAAAAAGUAAGCAAUAUUUUGAAUGAGUGAUUAUUCCUAAUUAUUUUAUCUCAACAGAAAUCAAAACGAAAUUAUUAAAAUUUUAAAAUAAAUAGUUUAUUAUGCAUUAGUAUACUUAAGAGGUGGUAAAAAUCUUCUCAUUUACGUCAGAAGAAAAUUCCGUUUUUCCUCAAAUAUAUGCAUAUCAAAUCUACACUAAAUAAAAUAAAACCAGAAUAUGUGGAUACUUACAAAUGAUGAACAUACAUAUUUUACUAUAUACCUGCAAGGGUUUAAAUAGUUAUUAAUAUUAAUUAAAUAUGUUAGAGUUUGAUUUUUAAUGUAUACGGUAAGAUUAAUAAAUUAGCUGUUAAUUUAUAGUUUGUAGUUCAUUCUUUUUAUAUUUCAAUAUAUUUGGUCAGUAUCUUUAAUUUUUUAUCUAUUAUUAAUUAUUUAAUUUUAUAAAAAAAAUUCAUUAUCGUUAAUUAUUAAUUAAUAUUUGUAUUCUUUAAUUUUUGUAUGUACUUUAAAUUAAAAAAAAAAUACUAUAAAAGAAAUAACUAAUGUUUCAUUACUUAAAGCUUAUAUAAAAAUUACAUAUAUAAUAUGAAAGGUAAGAAAUUGAUUGUUUAUAAAAAAAUUAUCUUAUUUAUCAACACUUUAUUUAUCAUGGAUUGGAUCGAAUUUGGUCGAAUUCAGAUCCAAUUUGAUCAAUCUAAUAUUAUCUAAAUUGAAUAUUUUAAAUUUUAUAUCCGGUCAUUUAAUUUAUUGAGUUAGUCAAAUAUAAAUUACAAGUUAAUUUGAACAAAUUAUUCAGAUUAUGAAUUCAUAUCAAGUUAUUUUUUUAAUAAAAUAUUUUAUUUUAAAUAAAUGAAAUAAAUACACCAAAUCUUUAAAAAAAAUCAUAUGUGUGAUUUUAAUGAUUAUUUAAUUUUAUAUAGUUUAUUAUUAAAUUUUAAAAAGUAUUAACCAAAAAUAAAUUUUAAAAUUUAAAAUAUACUUACAAAUUUAUAAAUAUUAAAAUAUUCUUUUUAAGAUUAGUUUAGAUACUCAUAAAUUCUAAUCUAUGAUCCAAAUUCAACCCUUAUUAUUUGUUUUAAUCAACUUUAUUUAUUUAGUACUACCUGUCACUGGACCAAACCUGACCUUGUGUAGAUGGGUCGAAUGCAUUCUAUUUACAGAAGCCUAAAUGUUUUAACACCACAUUCUAUUUCUUUUUGAGUAAAUAUUAAAUUUCAUAUUUAUGUGAAUCUUACAAAUUUUGUUCUAUUUAUUAUGUUAUUACGUUAAUUCAUCUUAUAAUUCUUCUUUUUUCAUUGACUUCAUUAUUAUUGAGUAACCAAACUAUCAUAAUUGAUCUCGUUUAUUUUAAAUGAUUUUUAUUUAAAAAAAUAAGAUAGGUUUUAUUGAUGGAACCAUAGAUACUCCCACUCAUAUUAGCUUAUUAUUUUUAGCAUGGCAGAGAGCCAAUAUGUUGGUUGUUUCCUGGAUGCUCAAUGUUGUUUGUUCAUCCAUUGUACAGAGUAUCAUUUGUAUGGAUGAUACCUUUGACAUAUGGGAAUGAUUUAAAGGAAAGGUUCUCAUAAGGAGACAUGAUUUAUAUUUCUUAUUGUCAAGAGAUGAUUUCUUCUUACAAACAAUAUUCUAAUAAUGAAGAGCAAAAUCAUGAAAGUUCAAAGACAAAAGUGUAGUCUCGACAGAUUGGUUUUACCCCUGAGUAGUAUCAAACAACAACAAAAUUAAUUACAUUUUGACAACAAUGAUAUUUAUGCAUUUUAUAACAAUUAUAUGAAUUUUGUCAGUUACCCAGAGCUUUUUAAAUUUAUUGAUUUUAACUACUAUACUAAAGAAGGAAUCAUUGUGUAAAUGAAAUCAAGAUAGUUAAAUUAGGGAAUCUUAAACUGAAAAUUGUCUUCAUUAGUAAAUUAUCAAUUGAACUAGCUCUUAUUUUAAGAACUAUUCGUUGGUGAUAGUAUGAGACAAAAGCUAAAUAAAAGACAAUUGUGUUGGCUCUUCACUCGUCCAACAUAAAAUGCAAUGACAUCGAUGGAAAAUAUGGAUACAACAAUUGUAAAAAUAGAUAAACUCUCACCCGUCACGAGUUGUGUCACAAACAAAAAUAGUUAUACUUAAACCAUUGAACUGAUAAAACUCUUGAUAACUUACAUCGAAAAACAAAAUCAUUAUUCAAAUUAUUUUAUCAUAUGGCUAAAUGUGUAAUAUGUCUCAAAUUGAAAUUGGAAUUGAAAUCAACCACAAACAUAUCUAGAUUGACCUUGCUUUCCAUUAUUAUCCUCUAUCUUAACCUAACCAGUUAGUCGAUAAACCGGUCUAACUAACAAAUGCUUCUUUCUUGGUGUGGUGAGUCCAAAUAUCUCUUGCAUGUCUAACUCAUCACAAGACAUGCCCAAUGGAAGCACCCAAUCAAAACAAUGCACCAAUUGAGCCAAAAUAAGGCUAAACGUGGUUAAACCCAAAUGAAUCCCGGGACACCCUCUUCGACCAGACCCAAAUGGUAAAAUGCGAAAGUCCUUUCCACGAAUAUCUAUGUUGUCAUUCUCAAACCUUGUAGGAUUGAAAAUCGCAGCAUUGUUCCAAACUUUAGGAUCCCGUCCUAUAGCCCAUGCAUUUACUAUAAUCCUUGAUUUUUUCUUUAUGAAAUAACCAUCAAUGAUAACAUCUUCUCUACACUCACGAGGUACUAACAAAGGUGCAACCGGGUGCAACCUUAGUGUUUCCUUUACCACCAUGUUCAAAUAAGACAAAUUUUCUAAAUCAUUUUCCUCCACGUGUCUAUUCAUUCCAACCACAUGUUCUAGCUCGUGUUGAAGUCUCUUCAUCACACUUGGGUGCCUCAAAAGUUCUGACAUGGCCCAUUCUAUCGUUGUGUAAGAUGUGUCCAAUGCUGCAGUGAUUAUGUCUAAUAUGAUAGCUUUGACAUUUGUCCUAUCAAUGAUGUUUUCGUUGUUGUGAACAUCAUUGGAUUGGUGCAUGAGUGACACCAAAAUCUCCACAAAGUCCAUAUUACGUUUAUUAUCUUUGUCAUAUGAAUUUCUCUCGUGAUCUUGGAUUAUUUGCUCCAAUACUUCGUCAAAUAAUUUACUUGCUUUCUUUAAUCUUUUUGUUAUUCCCUAAACAAUAGUUACAUAUGUAUAAAUAUUCCAUAUUCAUAAAAUAAAAUAGCACAUAUAAUUCAUUUAUAUUAUUUCGUACAAAUGUGAUAACAAACAUUUUGGUUUAUAUAUUUUGGUUUAUUUAUUUAUGGAGUCGCAUGCAAAUUUUAUUUAAUAAAAAAAUGUAAAAUUUAGAUAAACACUAAUAUAAAUAAGUGACAAACUUACUAGUACAAUUUUUUUAGCACAAUUUUACUUCAAUUUUUUUUUAUAUUUUCUGAAGUUGUGUUUACUUGUUUUCAAGAUUUUUGUUUAAAUCAAAUUAUGCCUAAUGACACUUCUUUUAGGUUAAACUUUUUUUAAUUAUUUUUCUAAAUUCGUGCCUAGUGUGACGUUUUUUAGUUUAUUAAAAGUUUUUAUUUGUUAUCGUACCACUAGGCAGUUUUCUCUUUUUUUUAAAAAAAAGUAAAAUCGUGUGUCUAGGCACGUUUUGUGCUUUUUUAUGAUUUUUUAUUUAUUUUAAAUGGUUUUGCAGUUUUUCGGGUUUUUUCAAUAAUUUUUUUUUGUCAUUUUCAAGUUAUAAAAUUGUGAUGUUUUUGGUUGAGGUUGGGUGUGUUUUUUAACUUAAAAAAAAUAUUUAAUAUAAUUUCAUAAUUUUUAUUUUUUGAAUAAUUUAAUUAAGUAAUGAAAUGCAAUAAAAUUAAUAGAUUAUAAUCUAGGGAAAAAAUCAGGAUUAUUGAUCUAAUUAUGUCUCUCUCACAUUAAUUUUAAACAUUGAAUAAGAUCAAAUACUAAUUAAAUGAAUUUGUAUAAGUUCGGUUGAGAAAUGAUAGAUAGUAUAUGUUUGACUUGUGUUAGAAGCUUGUAGAUUGGUUUAGUGAAUUUUGUAUAAGGUUGAGAUAUGUCUGAAAUACCUUAUUUAUUUAUUAUUUUUACUGAUAAAAAUAACUAAAUGAAUUAUUUAACUUAAAAUAAGUAAAAAAAAAUUCAAAUUUUAUUGUUGGAAUGAAGGUGAUAAUAGCAAAAAAUUCUCGGACAACGAAAAAUAUUUUUCAUAAAAUCUAUUUUCUCCAUUAAUUGAAUUUAUUUUAUUACAAUAAAGGCUUUAUAUUAUUACUAGUGUUUCAAAUUUUCCAAAUUGCAUUCCAUUAAUUACUGUAUUUCAUUAAUUGAUUAAAUUAUCUAAAAUUACAAAAUUAUAUUCAAGAACUUUUUAAAAGAAUUAAAUAAUUAAAAUUGAAAAAAUCAUGCCCAACCAAAGUAAAACAAAAAAUCACAAUAAACAUAAAAAAUAUAUUAUUAAAACUUGAAAAAAAAAUUAUUACAAAAACCCUAAAAAAUAAUACUUUUUAACCAAAAAGACGACAGUUUUUAACCAUUCUUAAGAGCCACGCAACUUUAUAUUUUUCAAUCUAUGAUCGAUGAUGGCUUAAAGUUGCAACUAUUACUGGAAUAUAUUUAUCUAAUGAAGACAGUUUUUUGUUCACUUUAAUCCAAAUUUUCUAAACUUUUUUUAUUUAUCAUAUUUAUCAUUUAUAUUAGUUACUAUAAUCACUAAUUGUGUUUUAAUUCGAAUAGAAAAUAUUAUGAUUUGCGUAUACUGUUCUAAAUUUUUCUAUAUUCUUUAGCAGCAUUAUGUAAAAGUAGUUCACAGAAAAUUGUUUAUACCAAAUAUUCAUAUCAAUUUAUUAUAAUGGUACAUUUUUUUUCAAUUUUUGCAUAUAGAUAAAUUUCAAAAGAAUUAUGAGUAGAAUUUACUCAUAAUUAUUAAUAUUUAAAAUAAUUUUUAAAUUAAUAUUAAAAUUUUAAUUACUAAUAUUUUAAUUCUAAAUUAGUUUGUAACACUAAACACUAAAGAGUAUAUAACAUAUAUAAUUGAAUUGAAUUUGAUACCUGAGGAUCAAAAAACCCUAGCCAAGGCAUGUAAUCUGCAAGAUUAAAAGCUCCAACCAAGUUCAUCACCUCUUGAAUAAGCUUUUUCAAGUCCAAUCUAUCAUCUUUCACACGCCCCAACAUCAUUCUAAACACCAUCUUCUCCACCACCUCCGCCACCAACUCACUCAGAUCCACCACCUCACCAGAUGCAGCAGAACGUUUCAGAGACUUCACCAACACUCCCAACUCCUCUCUCCUCAUAGGAGCAAACAUCUCAACCCUUGAGACACUCAGAAGCUGCACAGUGCACACUUUUCUCAUGUUGCGCCAGUAUGCACUGUACUCAGAAAAAGCCAAACCCUUGCUGCCAUGUGAAAGGAAUUCAGAGGCUUGGAUCUUGGGUCUGCUGGCAAAAACAGUGUCAUGGGUUUUGAGGAACGGUUCUGCAGUUUCUGGGGAAGAGACCACUAUGGCUGGGACCUGCCCCAGCUUUAAGGACAUUAUAGGACCAUAUUUUGUGGCAAGGGAUUGAAGGUUUCGAUGUGGGAGUUUUCCUAGCAUGUGAAGGUUACCUAUAAUUGGCAAGGGUUUGGGACCUGGUGCAGUUUUUCUAUCAUUUUUCUUUUGGAAAAAAAAAACAAUGAAUGAGAGAAUAUGGUCACAAGAAAUAUUGUAGGGAUAGCUACUUCUUGAAGCAACAUUGUUUACUUGUUUCUU